UAAGUUAUUGGCAAUAUGCCGGCACAGAGUAGAAUAUUGAUUACGUUUUAAGGGAGGCAGGGGUUUUAGGCAGGAUUUGAUUCAUGAUGUGUGUGUAGAUAUUAAUGUUAGGGGACAAUGUGAGAGUGUACGUUUUAGUAGGAAAACGUAUUAUCUGACCCACACUCCGGAACAGAAGAGGGCGGUAAUGCACCAAUAAGCUGGAUGCCAACCGCCGUUAAACUGGAAAGAAGACGAAUAUGACAGCUUGCUGUGAGAGACAACGGGACAGAUGAGACACAUGUGUGUUUAUCUGCUGUAGAGUAACUGAUGAAGGAAUGCUACCAUCAAAGGAUUUGUGUAGUCGUGCUCAUGGGGUGCAGGCACACGAAAGUUUGGAGCAGACACAGCAGUCAGAUUGUCCUGCACGUGUUCCCCUGCUUUAGCUUCAAGGUUGUGUGGUUCAGAGAGCCGUCAUCAAGGUCUUCCUCAUCCUGUUUCUCAACGACAUCCCCAUUGAGAAGAGUGAGAUUGUGAAGUGCAGCGGCAGAACUGUAUCAGCUGUGUUCAGAUGGCAGGAGGAUGUUGGGUUCACCAUCUGUAAAUACUUGAUUGUUAGAACAAUACGUUUGAAUGAAGCUUUGUAUCAUGUGUUGUUGACUUGUGCAUGUAUGCAUUUAUUGUGAUGAUAACUUUUAUACAUUAUUUUAAUCAUUUAGACAUAUUUUUGGUUGUCAGUAAAUAAAAUAUAAAUAUUUUAUCCAUUAAUGUAUUAAUUGCUUGACUGAAAAUGGAUGUAUUCACAUCGACUGCAUUUAUUUAACUAGUGUAUAUAUUCAUGUAUAGCUGUGUCACAAAAGAAAAUACAUUUGGCUUCUUUUACUAAAAUGUAAU